AAUGUCGUAACAAGGUUUCCGUAGGUGAACCUGCGGAAGGAUCAUUAAUGAGAUCAUGCCCCCUCGGGUGAGACCUCCCACCCACCUGUUCACCGCUAUCCCGUUGCCGUUUGCCGGUUCCCGUCGUGCGACGACGGGCCGCAGACGGCACCUUUAAACCCGUUAACUUAUCAUUGUCGUCUGAGUACUAUACAAUAGUUAAAACCU
rnacentral:misc_RNA from 1 species